rnacentral:lncRNA from 1 species
CCCAUUGCGUGUAGACUAGCGCGGUGCUGUGCGCCCUGUACACGCACCGUCCGCGCAGUAGGCCUGCACGGUAGGGCUGCGCGCAUGGGCAUGCGCUCUAUAGGCCAUGUGCACAACCAACUUGGGGAGGCAUGCUACUACCUCGGGUGGUGUGCCGCCUCCCCUUGGGUGCCGUGCGCUACCUUGGGUGAUGUGCGUUGCCAGUUGGGUGGUGUGCCCCACUUUCUUGGGCCGUGUACUGCCAUUAGUUGGGAAGUUCUUUCUCUGUUUUUCAUGUUGCGUCACAUCACUCUUUUCCCAUUUAACUUUCUCUCUCCUCACCAGAUUUUCCCACUUGGCGUAAAUAUAACGGUCCCCAUUUCUUAUAAAUAGGGAUUCCUCUCUUCCAUUUUCCUGAUCACUUCCAUUUCAUUCUUCCAUCCUUCAAGAGCUUAGAGAUAGAAGGAGUGAUCUAGAGACAAAAUGAGAGGAGGAGAAGAAGAAAGGUGUAAGAAAACUUCAAGAUUUUGGUAAGGAAUUUAGUAUUUCUUUUAAACAUCUUAAGAAGCAUUUCUAGAGUCAAAAUUAUAAAGCUUGAAAUUUAUGAUUUACAUGAUUAUGUUUAGUUAU